rnacentral:lncRNA from 1 species
UUUGGAAUAUAAUUCGGAUUAGUGGGUGUUUUACUGUUUUUGAUCUGAAUUUUAUCUACUAAAAAUUUCGGAAACUGUUAAAAGAUAAUCAGUUAUUAUUUUCGAAAUCUUUUGAUAAGUUUAGAUCAACAUUAAAACAGGAAACAUUAUCCCACAUUCCCUAAAAUUUCGAGUUUUCAGUUAUCAUCACAAAACAGCUGUUAAUAAGGUUAUAACUCGAGACCAUGAGGUUGCUACUCGAGACCAUGAGGUUGCUACUCGAGACCAUAAGGUCAUAACUCGAGACCAUGAGGUUGCUACUCGAGACCAUAAGGUUGCUACUCGAGACCAUAAGGUCAUAACUCGAGACCAAGGUUGCUACUCAAGACUAAGGUUGCUACUCGAGACCAAGGUUGCUACUCGAGACCAAGGUUGCUACUCGAGAUAAUAAGGCUACAACUCGAGACUAAGGUUGCGACUGGAGACCUCAUAACUCGAGAUCUCAAAACUCAGUCGAAACCAUGACUCGAGACCAUGACUCGAGACCUCACUCGAGAUCUCAAAACUUAGUUCGAUCCGCGCUAACAGGUGGUUUGCUAUUAAAUACUUGGUUUUGUUAACACUUAAUUAAUUUAUCAGAAUCAGAUAAUUUUUUGCAAAACCAAAAUAGCUUUACUUGAAUGAGCUUCUGAUGUAUUAAUUCUGGC